rnacentral:lncRNA from 1 species
GUGUAUAUAUAGGCAUAGAGGGAGCUAGGAGAGUCCAAAUGAGGUGCGGUUUUCGGCCACGCGAUCGUGAUCGAACGCUCUAGAUGAUGGAGCAGAGUUUCGUGCGUUUUGGGCCAAAAUGGAGGGGUGUUGGGCUGCAACACACACGAGGCCUUUUCGGUCCCUCGGUUAACCGUUGGAGUAUCAAACGAAGUCCAAAUGAUACGAAACUUGACAGGCGGUCUACCGGUAGUAAACCAAGGCCGCUUGGCAAGUCUCGGUCCAAUCCCCACGCAUGAAAGAAAGAUAGAAAUGACCACCGGAGGAGAACGAAGCGCCGGAAUGCAAAACGGACAACGGGGAAAAUGCUCGAAUGCAUGAGACGAACACAUAUGCAAAUGCAAUGCACAUGAUGACAUGAUAUGAGAUGCAUGACAAAGACAACAACACACGGAGACAAAGACCCGAACCUGAGAAAAUAAAAUAACUUAACGCCCGAAACGGCAAGAGUUGGAGUACAAAUAGGCAAAGUUACAUCCGGGGUGUUACAACACUCCACCACUACGAAAGGAUCUCGUCCCGAGAUCUAGAACUGAAAGAACACCGGGUACUCAGAACGGAGGUGAUCCUCGCGUUCCCAGGUAGCUUCACGGUCGGAAUGGUGUGACCACUUGAGUUUGAGAAAUUUGGUUGACUUGUUGCGAGUCUUGCGUUCAGUCUCUUCAAGAAUAGCAACUGGGUGCUCACGAUAAGAGAGAUCUUCUUGGAGCUCAAUGUCCUCGAAGUUGACGGUGCGGUCAGGAGUCUUGAAGCACUUUCGAAGCUGAGAGACAUGGAACACGUCAUGAACAUUUGUAAAGUUUGAAGGAAGCUCGAGUUGAUAGGCGAGGUCGCCUCUCUUGCUGACAAUCUUGAAAGGUCCCACGUAUCUGGGGGCAAGCUUCCCUUUGAUACCGAAGCGACGAGUACCUUUCAUAGGAGAGACACGAAGGUAAACAUGAUCUGCGAUCUCGAAAGCCAAAUCACGGUGCUUACUAUCAUAGUAGCUCUUCUGGCAGGAUUGGGCUGCUUUGAGGUUAUCACGAAUGACUUUGCACAUUUCUUCUGCUUCUGUGAUUAAGUCACUACCCAAAAGCUGACGUUCGCCGGUUUCAGACCAAUUGAGAGGGGUACGGCACUUCCUGCCAUACAGAAUUUCAAAUGGGGCCUUGCCCGAACUUGCUUGAAAACUGUUGUUGUAGGAGAAUUCAGCAUAAGGAAGACAAUCCUCCCACUUCAUGCCGAAGGAGAUCACACAAGCCCUGAGCAUAUCUUUAAGAAUCUGGUUGACACGCUCGACAUGACCGCUUGUUUGAGGAUGGAAAGCUGUGCUGAAGCGGAUGUUAGUGCCCAUGGCCUUCUGAAAAGAAUCCCAAAACUUCGAGGUAAAGAUGCUGCCAUGGUCUGAAGAUAUCACUUGAGGAAUACCAUGCAGAGAGACAAUGCGCAAGGUAUAGAGUUCCGCCAAUUGAGCUGCCGUGAUCGACUCUUUGAUAGGCAGAAAGUGAGCCACUUUGGUGAGUUUAUCGAUGACAACAAAUAUAGCAUCAUUGCCACGCUUGGACUUUGGAAACCCAGUCACGAAGUCCAUUUCAAUGUGGUCGAACUUCCAUUCUGGAAUGGCAAGAGGUUGGAGGAGACCUGCUGGCUUUUGGUGUCCUGCCUUCACUCUUCUGCAGACAUCACAUUCAUUCACGAAUUGAGCGAUCUCGCGCUUCAUUCGAGUCCACCAAUAAGCUUCUUGAGGUCCUGAUACAUCUUCGUGCUCCCAGGGUGGAUGGAGAGGAGAGAAUUGUGAGCCUCGUUCAUGAUCACUUUACGAAGGCCACCUUUGGGCACAACAAUACGAUCCUCGAAGAAGAGAGUGUCCUUGUCAUCAAGGCGGUAGCACUCGUACUUGGACUGGCUCUUGGCAAUCCCAAUCUUCACCUAUUUCACCAUAGCAUCAAGAAGCUGGGCUUGGCGAAUCUGGUCUUCUAAGGUAGGAGAGACUUGAAGGUUGGCGAGGAAACCUUGAGGAACAAUUUGCAGGUUAAGUUUGCGGAAAGCUUCACAAAGCUCGGGUUGAUAAGGCUUGAGAAUCAAACUAUUGCAGUAGGCCUUUCUGCUCAAUGCGUCAGCAAUCACAUUGGCCUUGCCUGGAGUAUACUCGAUACUCGGAUUAUACUCUUGAAUCAUUUCGACCCAACGAGUUUGCCUGAGGUUGAGAUUAGGCUGAGUGAAGAUGUACUUCAGACUCUUGUGAUCAGUGAAAAUGUCCACUUUUCUUCCCAAUAGAAGAUGUCUCCAAGUCAAAAGAGCAUGCACAACUGCCGCCAACUCGAGAUCAUGAGUGGGGUAGUUCUUCUCAUUAGGCUUCAACUGGCGAGAUGUAUAAGCAACAACUUUCUUCUCUUGCAUCAAUACUGCGCCAAGACCUUGGAGAGAGGCAUCACAAAAGACCUUGUGCGGCUUGGAUUCAUCAGGCGGAGUCAGAACUGGAGCAGUGAUCAAUUUCUCUUUCAAAGUGUUGAAAGCAAUAUCACACUCCAGAGACCAAAUGUACUCGACGUGCUUCUCGAGAAGAUUUGAGAGAGGCUUCGCGAUCUUAGAAAAGUUUUCAACGAAUCUUCGGCAAUAGCUUGCGAGACCGAGAAAACUGCGGAGUUGCUUCACGUUCUGAGGAGGUUCCCAAUUCACAAUUGCGGACACCUUCUCAGGAUUCACGGCAAUGCCCUUGGCAGAGAUGAUAUGACCAAGAUAAAGAACCUCAUCAAGCCAAAAUUCACACUUGGAGAACUUGGCAUAGAACUGAUGUUCCCUGAGUUUAUCGAGAACCAAACGCAAGUGCUUGGCAUGAUCUUCCUUGUUCUUCGAGAAAACCAGAAUGUCGUCGAGAUAGACCAAAACGAAGUCAUUGGUGUAGGCGUUGAAUAUGAAGUUCAUCAUGCGAGAGAACGUCGGAGGAGCGUUGGCGAGGCCAAAAGACAUGAUAGUGUAUUCAUAUGAACCAAAGCUUGUUCUGAAUGCAGUCUUGGGAAUAUCUUCUUCACGAAUGCGAAUCUGGUGAUAACCCAUACGGAGAUCAAGCUUGGAGAAUACUUGGGCACCUUUGAGUUGUUCGAACAGCUCAUUGAUGUUGGGAAGUGGGUAUUUGUUCUUGAUGGUCUUCUUGUUCACUGGACGGUAAUCAACACAAAGUCGGUCCGUUCCAUCCUUCUUCUUCACAAAAAGAACACCACAACCCCACGGAGAAGAACUAGGCCAGAUGAGACCCAUUUUAUCUUGCAUAUCGAGUUGCUUCUUCAGCUCUUUCAACUCUUCAGGUCCGAGCUUGUAAGGACGUUUGCACACAGGUUCCGUGCUAGGCUCAAGAUCAAUAACGAAUUCAACUGGCCGGUGCGGAGGCAUUCCUGGAAGCUCUUCUGGAAAGACGUCUUGAUAUUCGCAAACGACUGGAAUUUGAGAGACAGCAUCCAAUUCACCCUUCUCAUUGAGAGAAAACAGACGGAUAGUAUCAUCACGAGCGGCAAAGACAAUUACAUCCUCAGACGAAUGAGUCAAUUGAAUCUACCUGGCUGCACAAUCAAGAUGUGCCUUGUGCUUAGAAAGCCAAUCCAUUCCGAGAAUAAGAUCAAUAUCCGAGUUACCAAGAACCACCGGAGAAGAGAGAAACUUGUAAUCGCCCAACAUGAUAGAGACAUCCGGGACGCAAUUGUUAGAAGUCAUUUGCUUGCCCGGAGACACAAUCUUGAAUGGAACAGGAAUCCUUUCGGUCACAAAAUCAUGCUUGGCCACAAAUGGAGUUGAAAUAAAAGAAAGCGAUGCACCAGUGUCAAAAAGAACUUUUGCAGGAACAUCGUUAACAGGAAGGUUACCCAUGAUCACAUCUGGUGAGUCCUCUGCCUGAGCUGCAUUCAGCAAAUUGACCUUGGCGUGCUUGGGGUUAUGCUUGACCACAGCUGUACUUGCCGAUCUGACAGGAGGAGGAGGUGGAAGACGCCUCUGGUUGAAACACUUGUUGGCAUAGUGACCCUUCUGUUGGCACUUGUUACACGUGACCUCUGAAAUCGGACGAUGAUACGGAGCACUCGAUCUUGGAGCUUGAGACGAAGUCUUGUUCUGAAAGCCAGGGUUGGGUGGGUGGGAAGAACCACUGCCACCUUUGCUCUUCUGCUGAUACGGCUGACGGAACGGAGGAGGAGGAAGCCAAAACUUCUGCUGCUUGGUCACUUGAGUAGAGGAAGGAGUAACAUCUCUGACUCGCUUCUUGGAAGCAUCACACCUCAACUGAGCAGCCUCUUGUUUCAGUGCCAUGUUGUAGAACUCAUCGUAUCUCAAGGGCUCAAAGAGAACAAGAGCUAGCUGGAUUUCUUCUCUGAGACCACCCCUGAACUGGUAUAUCAUGCUCUUCUCAUCAGAGACGUCCUGCUUGGCAAAGCGGGCGAGCUUCUGAAACAACUUGUUGUAGUCAUAGACAGACAAAGAGCCUUGCUUCAGAUUGCGGAAUUCCUCACGCUUGCUUUCAACCACGCUCUAUGGAAUAUGAUGAGCUCAGAAAUCUUGACGGAAAUCAUCCCAAGUGAUAACACGUCCACCUCUGGAGUCCUUGUACUGCCGGAACCAUUCUGCAGCUUGAUCUUUGAGUUGGAAGGAAGCAAACUUAACAAAGUCCUCAGGCCUGACGUUACUGCACUCAAAAUACUUGCACAGAUCCACAAGCCAAUCGUCAGCAUCGGUUGCCUCAACACAAUUGCUGAAAGUCUUUGGCCCGUUAGCAAGGAACUGGUUGAGUGUAGCAAAGUGACUCUGAUUGCUGCCUUGAUUCCCUUGGUUGCCUUGAUUGCGCUCUUGAAGAAUUUUGCAUGAUCAACUGUGUGUUUGCAUUGGUUGCGGCCAUCACAGCUUGCCAUGCCUCCGGAGGAGGUGGAGGUGGUGGCGGAUCCGGUUUCGGAGUCGUGCGCGUUGGAGGAGCCAUCCUGAAGAGGUUGACCACCAUUAGCACAUUGACAGAUAAAUAUUGAAGCUGAAUCCAACGGAAUGAAAAUUGCAACAUAUAGUCUUCACAUCCGAACAAAAUGAACGAAUGCAUUUCUCUUGAAAUGGUCACAUAUCCAUAAAUUGAGAAGCCACGUAGAAUUAAGGUAGAGAAAUAAAUCAACAAGGUACGGAUCACGAACGAAUAAUCGGUAAGAAAUCCCAAUCUCAAACCAAUAUCCCUGGAAGAAGAACUAGAGCUACUAGAAUUCCCACCUAUGAAACUCCCGAACCUUUCCGGUUAUGCAAUCAGGUGUUGGGGAUACAGGGGAAGCAUAAUAUCUCACCCAAACUAGCAAAUCCUACAUCCAGUUGUAUCCAUCCUUCAACACAUAACCAAGAAACCUUCGGAAACCAUCUACCUCAACCUUCAAAAAGCAUCUGUUAUACAAGCUAUGGCGAUACUCCCAAACUCCCGCCCCAGUACUGGGUGGCGUCGAGGUUAUCUCACCAACGAACUGCAUAAAAGAGAUUUUCGAUGUCAGCGUGCUAGACUCAGGUAUUCCAGAACUGCAAUGAUAAAAUUAUGACGACAACACCUUAGAGCUCAACUCCCCGGGACACUUCCACUAAACCCCUGACAGGAGGCACCAAGACAAUGUUCUCAUCAUAAAACCAUCGGAACGAUUCCAAGAUACCCGCUUGAUCCUAAAAAAAAUUUAGUGAAAUUUGAGAAGAAGAAGAGUCAAAACUCUAUGUCAGGAUGCCUUACCAGAGCGAUGAGGAGACUGGGAAGUAAAAGAAUUCCUAAUCUCUCCGAUAUAUAAUUCCUAAAUGACUCAAAACAUUUUUCUAGACACAACUCGGCCGCUAAAAACGAUCAAGCAAUGGGGCUCCUAAGGUCGGGCAAGGCACUGAUGACCAACUUGUAACACCCUCGAUGCGACUAUAGCUCCCAUGUGUCGAGGCACGACUUAGAGAUAUAAUCGCAUUGAAGGCAUAUGUCGCAAGUUAGGCAAUCUUCACAACAUCCCAUGUAAUAAGAUAAUAAAAAGGGAGAUAACAUAGUUGGCUUACACUCGCCACGUCAAUCAAGUACUUAAAUAUACUUAAAUAACAUUACAUCAUCCAAACACUCAUGGCCCGACUACGGCGCCAAAAUAAAAGAGAACCCAACAUGCGACACGGUCCCAAUCACCCCCAACUGGGCACCACUACUGAUCAUCGGGAAAGGAAACAUAGUAACGUUGCGAGUCUUCGUCGAACUCCCACUUGAGCUCAUACGCGUCUCCUGGAGCGGAAUCAUCAGGCCCUGCAUCUGGUGUAAUAGUAAUCUGUGAGCCACAGGGACUCAGCAAUCUCGCACCCUCGCUAUCAAGACUAUUUAAGCUUAUAGGUAUGGCAAGGUAAAAUAUGAGUGGAGCUGCAGCAAGCGACUAGCAAGUAUGGUGGCUAACUUAUUCGCAAAAGAGAGCGUGAAGAGGAGGCAAAGCGCGAGCGAGAAACUAGAGAGCAACCUGCGCAAACAUUACUCCAACACCGUGUCCACUUCCCGGACUUCGCCGAGAAGAGGCCGUCAUGGUAACACACCGGAGUUUUAUUCAAGGCGGACUGUCAAGGGGUUCCCAUUAUAACCCAACCGCGUAAGGAACGCAAAAUCCGGGAACAUAACACCGAUAUGACGGAAACUAGGGCGGUAAGAGUGGAACAAAACACUAGGAGAGAGCCCGAGCCUUCCACCCUUUACCAAGUAUAUAGAUGCAUUAAGAUAACAAGAUAAUAUAAUGAUAUCCCAACAAGUAAAUAAAUGUUCCAACAAGGAACGGCCUCCAAUCUUCACCUGCAACUAGCAACGCUAUAAGAGGGGUUGAGCAAAGCGGUAACAUAGCCAAUCAACGGUUUGCUAGGACAAUGGUGGGUUAGAGGUUUGACAUGGAAAUUUGGGAGGCUUGCAAGCAAGUGGUAGGCAUCGAAGCAAUGGCAUAGCAAAAGAGCGAGCAAACUAGCAUAGCAAAGAUAGUAGUGAUAUCGAGGGUAUGAUCAUCUUGCCUGCACAGUUGUCAGAGUUGACUUGAUCCUCAAAAGAAAACUCAACGGGAUCCUCGUUACCGAACUCGUCUCCCGGCUCUACCCAAACAAGACAAACAAGCAACAAGAAUACAAUCAACCACGUGCAAACUCAAACAACACGAUGCAAAGAUGAUAUGCUAUGCGGGAUGCGAUGCGGGAUGUAAAAUGCAAGAUAUGACAGGAAAUGCAUGAAGCUGGCCUCAACUUGGAAAUCCAAGUGUGUCACUGGAAAGAUGAGAUGAAAUCGCUUGAAAACGAUAUAAAGAACGCCGGAAUCGGAGUUACGGUUUGGAAAUGGCAAGCGAUUCAAAAAUGACACCGGUCUGCGAUUUACAGCAAGUAGGCAUCUAAAUGCAAUGAAACGAACAUGCUACAGCAACCAAACAUGACAAAAAAAUGCAUGGCAGGGAAGCAUUCAAGAUUCUUAACAAAAGUCUAGCACUGAGCUACGGCCAAUUCAUCCAUUAACAGGUUCAAACAAGCAUGGCAAAAAUGCAAAUGACAAACAGAUCUCAGACUUAGUGAAAUUAACACUUGUCUGGAAUUUCAGAUCAUAUAGCCCUCUUCGGAGCAACGAAACAACAUGCUACAAGACCUGAACAUGACAAAGAAAGACAUGGCAUGGAGCUACUCAACAAGCUUAACAAAAGUCCCUUAGUAACCUUGAGCCAAAAGGGGUCACAAAAUAUACUAAAAAGCACACGAACAUAGCAAAAACAUAAUCUGUUUUUUCAGACUUAGCGAAAACUGGGACAUGCUGAAACAUAACUCACGAAGGCAUGUUUACGAGCUCGAUGCACUCACCACGGUGCAAGUCAUGGCAAGACAAGCAUACAUCCCUUAAGAAGGAACCAAAUUCAAGCUAGACAUGUCAAGAACAAUGGCAUAACAUGCACGGAUCAACUACAAUAACAUCGGCAAAAUUGCAAACAAGUUGACGAUCUACCCAGAUUCGCAACGAAGCAAAAGUAGAGCUCGAUUGACUCAAGCUAGGGAGCUCCAUAAUUGCAGACAAAGUCAUGGAUGGAUAGAGCACUACAAUAUUAACAAAACUCCUUUACUGAUCAUCCUCAAAAGUGGCACGGAUCACUAGGAAACAACAUGAACAUAUGGCAUCAUGAACUAAACAAUCCCAGGACUUAGUGAAAUUACUAAGUUCCUGAAAACAGAAUUAGCAAGUGCACCACUUUGCAAGCUUGCACAAGUCACCACACACAUCCUAAAAAUAUAUGGGUUGCACCUCUGGAGAGAUGACAAAACCCUUAGCAAAACACAUGUAGAACUCACGGGCAUAGCAUGCACACAUUAAUCAUGGCAAAAAUGACAAAAGUGCUAAACGGAGUAACGAUCUGACAAUUAACUCAAGUAGCCCUCUUCUAACAGAAUUUCGGGCAUAAAGAUGAACACAAAUGAAAAUGAUGCAAUGGAAUGAAAUGAUGUACUCUCUGAGAUGAACAUUUUGAUAUGCUAUAUGCAUGAAUCGGAUCUACGGAUGCAAAGUUACGGAGCCGCGAACAGGAGCACUUGAACUGAAAAUAUCCGGGACUUAGUGAAAAAAAAUCAACCUCUCCGGGACAGAUCUAGGGUUCGCACGGAAACCGAGGCGCGGUUGGGGCACUGUAGCAGCUCGAGGACCGCCAGAAAUAAAAGAGCCACGGCGGCCGGAUCUCUCGCCGGAGAGGCUGCCGGCGACGAGGAGGCGGGGCGCCCGGAGCUUCACGGAGGCGGGGCGGCGGCCGCGGGGNNNNNNNNNNNNNNNNNNNNNNNNNNNNNNNNNNNNNNNNNNNNNNNNNNNNNNNNNNNNNNNNNNNNNNNNNNNNNNNNNNNNNNNNNNNNNNNNNNNNNNNNNNNNNNNNNNNNNNNNNNNNNNNNNNNNNNNNNNNNNNNNNNNNNNNNNNNNNNNNNNNNNNNNNNNNNNNNNNNNNNNNNNNNNNNNNNNNNNNNNNNNNNNNNNNNNNNNNNNNNNNNNNNNNNNNNNNNNNNNNNNNNNNNNNNNNNNNNNNNNNNNNNNNNNNNNNNNNNNNNNNNNNNNNNNNNNNNNNNNNNNNNNNNNNNNNNNNNNNNNNNNNNNNNNNNNNNNNNNNNNNNNNGGCGUCCACGUGGCGCGUGCUGAGAGGGCGCGGGCGGCGGCGGACGUUGUCCGGCCCGCUCCGGACACGUCCGGCGGCGGCGGAUCUGGGAUUUUUAGGGGUUAGGGGGGAGAGGAUCCGCGAAUUUGGAAUGGGGGGUGUGUGUAUAGGCAUAGAGGGAGCUAGGAGAGUCCAAAUGAGGUGCGGUUUUCGGCCACGCGAUCGUGAUCGAACAAUCUAGAUGAUGGAGCAGAGUUUGGUGGGUUUUGGGCCAAAAUGGAGGGGUGUUGGGCUGCAACACACACGAGGCCUUUUCGGUCCCUCGGUUAACCGUUGGAGUAUCAAACGAAGUCCAAAUA